rnacentral:rRNA from 1 species
UCCAGACUCCUACGGGAGGCAGCAGUGGGGGAUAUUGCACAAUGGGGGGAACCCUGAUGCAGCGACGCCACGUGGGUGAAGGAGCGUUUCGGCGCGUAAAGCCCUAUCGGCAGGGAAGAAGGAGGACGGUACCUGACUAAGAAGCCCCGGCUAACUACGUGCCAGCAGCCGCGGUAAUACGUAGGGGGCAAGCGUUAUCCGGAUUUACUGGGUGUAAAGGGGGCGCAGACGGCAGCGCAAGCCAGGAGUGAAAGCCCGGGGCCCAACCCCGGGACUGCUCUUGGAACUGCGCGGCUGGAGUGCAGGAGGGGCAGGCGGAAUUCCUGGUGUAGCGGUGAAAUGCGUAGAUAUCAGGAGGAACACCGGUGGCGAAGGCGGCCUGCUGGACUGCGACUGACGUUGAGGCCCGAAAGCGUGGGGAGCAAACAGGAUUAGAUACCCUCGUA